GGUAGGGUGGCCGAGAGUAGGCGGCGAGUUGUAGCCUCGCAGACUGGGGAACGCCCCACCCCACCAAGUC
rnacentral:tRNA from 1 species